rnacentral:rRNA from 1 species
UACGAAGGGGGCUAGCGUUGCUCGGAAUCACUGGGCGUAAAGCGCACGUAGGCGGAUUGUUAAGUCGGGGGUGAAAUCCUGGGGCUCAACCUCAGAAUUGCCUCCGAUACUGGCAGUCUCGAGUGCGGGAGAGGUGAGUGGAAUUCCCAGUGUAGAGGUGAAAUUCGUAGAUAUUGGGAAGAACACCAGUGGCGAAGGCGGCUCACUGGCCCGUAACUGACGCUGAGGUGCGAAAGCGUGGGGAGCAAACAGG